GAUGAACGCUGGCGGCGUGCUUAACACAUGCAAGUCGAGCGAAGCAGUUAAGAAGAUUCUUCGGAUGAUUCUUAACUGACUGAGCGGCGGACGGGUGAGUAACGCGUGGGUGACCUGCCCCAUACCGGGGGAUAACAGCUGGAAACGGCUGCUAAUACCGCAUAAGCGCACAGAGCUGCAUGGCUCGGUGUGAAAAACUCCGGUGGUAUGGGAUGGGCCCGCGUCUGAUUAGGCAGUUGGCGGGGUAACGACCCACCAAACCGACGAUCAGUAGCCGGCCUGAGAGGGCGACCGGCCACAUUGGGACUGAGACACGGCCCAAACUCCUACGGGAGGCAGCAGUGGGGAAUAUUGCACAAUGGGGGAAACCCUGAUGCAGCGACGCCGCGUGAGCGAAGAAGUAUUUCGGUAUGUAAAGCUCUAUCAGCAGGGAAGAUAAUGACGGUAC
rnacentral:rRNA from 1 species